UUUUGUUUCCCUUGUCCCAAAACGCAGACGUUUUGGUGCGUACGCAGUUCGAUUCCAGCUGAAGACGCUUUUUCAAAUUAAUCCACCAUUUACUUUUCCCUCCAUUUCCCAUUGCAUUUUUUCAUAUUUUUGUCAUAUAUUUUAUCCAACUUUGAAAAAUCACCAAAAAUAGCAUGUUAGUCCAAAUAAUUCCAAUUUUUUUUCUACAUGAUCCUUGAGAUGUCUACUAUUUUAUGGUUGUGAUUUCAUGAUUUUAUC
rnacentral:lncRNA from 1 species